CUGGACUUCCUCCUCACAUCCAAGGGCCUCCCCAGUCUUUAGCUCCAUCUCCAGCCUCUGACUUUCCAUAACCAUGGUGUUUGCAAAGCCUGCUCCCUUAGUCUCCUACAGGGCUCUGGCUGGGAUAUCAUCAUAUACUGUAAGUUUGUGAUGAGACACUACAGUAUAGAUGAUGUACUAGUCUGGGCACCCCCUGCUCUGGAGCCUGAGGAGGGCAGGGGAGAUGCUGCAAGCCCAUGGGGCUCAUCACACAGCCUGUCACAGCCUGCCAACUGCUGGAGCACUUGGGAAUGGCGAGGAAACCGUUACCAUUACUGAGUUUAGUAAUGGUAAUGGUUCUCUUGCUGCUUCCAAAAACGUGCCAGGAAGAGCUCAAGACCCUGGAGGAGAUCUCUGGGAGGGAAGGGAACUUUAGUUUAACUUGGGGGUAGGGAUGAGGGAACAGAUAUAUUUUUGUUACCUGUUGUAAAGAAAUAAAGAUGAAAACCAGAA